CUACGGGUUGCAGCAGUAAGGAAUAUUGGUCAAUGGACGCAAGUCUGAACCAGCCAUGCCGCGUGAAGGAUUAAGGUCCUCUGGAUUGUAAACUUCUUUUAUUUGGGACGAAAAAGGGUCUUUCUAGACCAACUGACGGUACCAGAUGAAUAAGCACCGGCUAACUCCGUGCCAGCAGCCGCGGUAAUACGGAGGGUGCAAGCGUUAUCCGGAUUCACUGGGUUUAAAGGGUGCGUAGGCGGGUAGGUAAGUCAGUGGUGAAAUCCUAGAGCUUAACUCUAGAACUGCCAUUGAUACUAUCUAUCUUGAAUAUUGUGGAGGUAAGCGGAAUAUGUCAUGUAGCGGUGAGAUGCUUAGAUAUGACAUAGAACACCUAUUGCGAAGGCAGCUUACUACGCAUAUAUUGACGCUGAGGCACGAAAGCGUGGGGAUCAAACAGGAUUAGAUACCCUAGUAGUC
rnacentral:rRNA from 1 species